rnacentral:tRNA from 2 species
ACGAAUGUUACGAAGGUUGUUAAAGCUUCCUUGAAAGAACUUUUGGUCUGUAAGAACAGAGAUGCAAGCGGUGCCACUCUGUUCAUAUGCGC